rnacentral:rRNA from 1 species
UACGUAGGGUGCGGGCGUUAAUCGGAAUUACUGGGCGUAAAGCGUGCGCAGGCGGCCUCUUAAGUCAGAUGUGAAAUCCCCGGGCUCAACCUGGGAAUUGCAUUUGUGACUGCACGGCUAGAGUGUGUCAGAGGGGGGUAGAAUUCCACGUGUAGCAGUGAAAUGCGUAGAGAUGUGGAGGAAUACCGAUGGCGAAGGCAGCCCCCUGGGAUAACACUGACGCUCAUGCACGAAAGCGUGGGGAGCAAACAGG